AAACUUACUUAAAACAUAAGAGAGGGUGAGGAUCUACUCUUACCUCUUGAAGAUCGAGAGGAGAGGCGAUCCAAACUUGGAGAUGUAGAGAAACAAGCUCCUGAGGUCUCCAAGCUUCUAAAACCUUGAUCUUAGCUUUAAAAUCUUCAAAACAUGGUAAAAACUCAUAAAAACUCUGGGAGAUUUGAAGGAAAACAUAAAAUCAACCAUGGAGGGUCAAGAACUCACCUUUGCCCGAAAAUGGAGAGAGAAAACUCGCCCAUUUUCUGACAUGGGGCCUUUUAU
rnacentral:lncRNA from 1 species